AUGCUAGCUGACCAGACACAGCGCGGCUAUAUUAAACUUUUAUACGGAAAAUACAUUGAAACAAAGAUUACAGGAACCUCACAGGCUGACUGUGCUCUCUUGAUUGUUGCUGCUGGUGUUGGAGGAUUGAAGCUGGUAUCUCUAAGAAAGGGCAGACCCGUGAGCAUGCCCUUCUGGCUUACACACUGGGUGUGAAACAGCUAAUUGUUAGUGUUCAUAAAAUGGACUCCACUGAGCACCCUACAGCCAGAAGAGAUAUGAGGAAACCGUUAAGGAAGUCAGCACCUACAUUAAGAAAAUUGGCUACAACCCUGGCACAGUAGCAUUUGUGCCAAUUUCUGGUUGGAAUGGUGGCAAAAUGCUGGAGCCAAGUGCUAAGCAAGUCUUGGUUCAAGGGAUGGAAAGUCACCCGUAAGGAUGGCAAUGCCAGUGGAACCACAUUGCUUCAAGCUCUGGAUUGCAUCCUGCCACCAACUCGUCCAACUGACAAGCCCCUACAUCUGCCUCUCCAGGAUGUCUACAAAAUUGGUGGUAUUGGCACUGUCCCUGUGGGCAGAGUGAAGACUGGUGUUCUCAAAUCAGGCAUGGUGGUCACCUUUGCUCCCGUCAACGUUACCACUGAAGUGAAAUCUGUUGAAAUGUACCAUGAGGCUUUGAGUGAAGCUCUGCAUGGGGACAAUGUAAUGUAAGCUUCAAUGUAAAUAACAUCUGUGUCAAAGAUGUUCGCUGUGGCAAUGUGGCUGGUGACAGCAAAAAUGUUCCACCAAUGGAAGCAGCUGGCUUCACUGCACAGGUGAUCAUCCUGAACCAUCCAGGCCAAAUCAAUGCUGGAUAUGCACCUGUGCUAGAUUGUCACCCAGCUCACAUUGCUUGCAAGUUUUCUGAGCUCAAGGAGAAGACUGAUCACGGGUCUGGUAAGAAGCUAGAAGAUGGCCCCAAAUUCUUGAAGUCUGGUGAUGCUGCUAUUGUUGACAUGGUUCCCAGCAAGCGUAUGUGUGUUGAGAGCUUCUCAGACUACCCUUCUUUGGGUUGUUUUGGUGUUCAUAAUAUGAGAAAGACUCUUGCCUGGGUUUCAUCCAGGCAAUGGACAAAAAGGCUGCUGGAGCUGGCAAAGUCACCAAGUCUGCUCAGAAAACUCAGAAGGCUAAAAGAAUAUUACCUUUAACACCUGCCACUCCAGUCUUAAUCAGUGUUAUCUUCUCUGCGGGCCUCUGUCUGUGCCUAAAUGUGGUGUUUCCAAGUCUUAGUGACCUAGAGAUCACAACGCCCACGUCAGAUAGCGUCGGGGAUCGGAAUGCAAGAUGGCGAAGGGCUUAA